UAUAGCUCAGUGGUAGAGUGCACGCUUAACAUGUAUUAGGUCCUGAGUUCAAUCCUCAGUA
rnacentral:tRNA from 1 species